GUGGAGUUACUUAAUGCAAGUAAGGAUGGCAGCAGCACAUCUCAGGGAUGGUCCCCAAACCGGUACAUGUGUUCACUUGUUGUCAAAACUCCAAUGUGAUGUAUUUUUUGAUUCUAAUCAAGUUAUGUGCAUAACACCUUCCAUCCCCAUGCCGGGGGCUACUGCCAGCCUACUUCCAUGUGGGCUGUGGGGCUGUGACCUCACAGAGCGAUCCCCACCUGCCGGACUAUGACCUCAUGGCUCUGCCCAUGUAAGCCAGCGGCCAGCACUUUGUCUCUCCCAGUGCGGUCGUGACCGGCUUUGAGCGAUGGUUGUCGACAGCGUUCUCCUUAUCCCCAGCCUCCUGCUCCUGGUGGCUGGGGUGUCUCUGCUCACCGCUUUCUGGCGCCGACAGGUAGGGAAAUUUGAGGAUGGGAGUUGCUUGAGGCCGGGUGACUCAGGGCUUGGGGGUGGGGGGUUAGGGCUGCCCCACAAGCCCUGUCACUGUGCCACGUUCAUGUGCCCGUAGGGUUCUGACCGGCGCCGGCAAUGGUGGAGAUGGUGGCAGCAAGUGGUAUCACUGAAGUCAGGUGAGUCCCCUGAGGGUCAACCUGGCACAUUGCCGGGCAGGGCCAGCCCUCCAGGGGAAGCCAAGCUUCAUACCAGCCUCUGUCAUGUAGCAGCCAGGCCAGGUGGGCCUGGAAGAUCCCGCUGCCCCCUAACCUACUGUGGCUCAGGCCCACUCCCUGUUUUACAGGUGCUGAGAGGCAGGCAGGCAGGCGCGGGAGCCCCCUGUGCAGGCCAUGUUGCUCCCAGCAGCAAGCAUCACCAUGGCAGGGCAGUCCCAUCCUGCCCCAUGUCACCCAGCCAGGAAAGACCCAGCCUUUGUUGCAGCGUAACCUGUGCCCCUCUCUUCACACCAACUCUGCCACUGGUACCACGAGGCCUGCGGGGAAACCCGGCAGGCUUCCCGGACAGGACCAGCGCCCGCAGGUUCUGGUGGCACGUGGGACCCCCAGGAUGUUCGGUCAGCGUUCAAGGCUAGGCAGUGGAGUUCAGGACCUGCCUCCUGAGAUCCUCAGCUGCACAAAGCCACCGGUGAAAGGGAUGGUCUUUCAGGAGGGCCUUGUUCAAACAGAGGAGAGAAAACGCUGGUGGGAAUACAAGACCAAGAGGCCUAUUUGGCCUAUGCGCCCCCCAGCACUUCCCAGAGGGCACAAGAAAGCAGGAGCAGCAGCAAGACCAUCACGAGGACCAGCUUUGAGCCUGGAGAAAAAAGCAGACAGCCAAACUGAAACCUGCCAGCCCUUCAACUCUGGCUUCAGCGGCAGCAGAAGCACAGAGCAAUCGGACAGGCUCGCUAUGGAAAGGCUGUACCGGCAGCUCCUGGUGUCCCUAAAACGGCCCAAGACCAAGAACGAUUGCUAACAAGUCAGGCUGUGGAACUGAAGAACAUCCUCCCUGUAACCUCUUCCUGCACACAGCCACCAGUGAAAGGGACGAUCGUGAAGGAGAACAUCCUUCAAACAGAGGAGGGGAAGUGCUGGUGGAAGAGCAUACCAACAGAGAACUGGAUCUCAGCCCUAAGAUCAUUGUUUGCAUCACACUAUUUCAGUUGGAGGUCUUUUGCAGUUUUAAAAAGAUAGUUUAAUAAAUGUCUCGCUAGUCUUCAGAGAAUUGCUAUCCUUAUUUCUUGACUUUUAGCAAUAAGAGCAAGCUCCCUCUGCGAGGAAGAGCUUCCAAGCAGGUAAGACUGCACUGGGG
rnacentral:lncRNA from 1 species